GAUGAACGCUGGCGGCGCGCCUAACACAUGCAAGUCGAACGGCACCUGCCCUCGGGCAGAAGCGAGUGGCGAACGGCUGAGUAACACGUGGAGAACCUGCCCCCUCCCCCGGGAUAGCCGCCCGAAAGGACGGGUAAUACCGGAUACCCCGGGGUGCCGCAUGGCACCCCGGCUAAAGCCCCGACGGGAGGGGAUGGCUCCGCGGCCCAUCAGGUAGACGGCGGGGUGACGGCCCACCGUGCCGACAACGGGUAGCCGGGUUGAGAGACCGACCGGCCAGAUUGGGACUGAGACACGGCCCAGACUCCUACGGGAGGCAGCAGUGGGGAAUCUUGCGCAAUGGGGGGAACCCUGACGCAGCGACGCCGCGUGCGGGACGGAGGCCUUCGGGUCGUAAACCGCUUUCAGCAGGGAAGAGUCAAGACUGUACCUGCAGAAGAAGCC
rnacentral:rRNA from 1 species